GUGCGGGCAUGAAUUUAACCGCUGAAUGAGUGAAAUUAGAUUAUUUACGAAAUAAAUCGAUAUGCAAUCUCAAAUUGAAUGCAAACUAAUUAAAACGCAUCCCCUUAUUAUACUCGAUAAAAUCGAAAAAUACACAAGAUUAUACAGAUAUUUUGGCUUAUGUCGCAAAAACAAACCCUAUAUUUUGCAAAGAACUUUAUCUUACAUGAGAAGAAGAAAUAAAACAAAACCCUAUGUGAAAAAUAAAAAAUCUUUUGAUUCUCUAUUGGGACUAUUAUAUCAGCG